rnacentral:lncRNA from 1 species
AUGGGUCUGGGGGUGCCCCAAAAUCCAAAUUUGGGGGGAGACCCCCCCGAAAAUUUGGGGUUUGGGUGUCUGAGAGGAGCAGAGCCAGAAUUGGGGGGAGUCCCCAAAAUUGGGGGGUUUGGGUUAAAAAAUGGGGGGGAAGGAAAGGGGGGCUGGGGGGGCCAGCACGGGGGGAGGGGGGCCCAAAUUCUGGGGGGUUCCCAAAUUCUGGGGCGGUCCCAAAAUCCCGGGGGUCUCUCCCCCCCAGUCCCUGUUCCCCUCCCGGGGGCUCUCCCCCCCCCAAUCCCGGGGGUCUCUCCCCUCACUUUUGGGGUCCCCCCGGGGGUCUCUCUCCCCAAUCCCGGUUCCCCUCACGGGGGUCUCUCUCCCCAGUCCCGGGGGUCUCUCCCCCCCAAUCCCGGGGGUCUCUCCCCCUCAGUUUUAGGGUCCCCCCGGGGGUCUCUCCCCUCAGUUUUGGGGUCCCCCCGGGGGUCUCUCCCCUCAGUUUUGGGGUCCCCCCGGGGGUCUCUCCCCUCAGUUUUGGGGUCCCCCCGGGGGUCUCUCCCCCCCCAAUCCCGGGGGUCUCUCUCCUCAGUUUUGGGGUCCCCCCGGGGGUCUCUCCCCCCCAUUCCCGGUUCCCCUCACGGGGGUCUCUCCCCCCUCAAUCCCGGGGGUCUCUCCCCCUCAGUUUUGGGCUCCCCCCGGGGGUCUCUCCCCUCAGUUUUGGGGUCCCCCGGGGGUCUCUCCCCUCAGUUUUGGGGUCCCCCCGGGGGUCUCUCCCCCCCAUUCCCGGUUUCCCUCACGGGGGUCUCUCCCCCCUCAAUCCCGGGGGUCUCUCCCCUCAGUUUUGGGGUCCCCCCGGGGGUCUCUCCCCUCAGUUUUGGGGUCCCCCCGGGGGUCUCUCCCCUCAGUUUUGGGGUCCCUCGGGGGUCUCUCCCCUCAGUUUUGGGGUCCCCCCGGGGGUCUCUCCCCUCAGUUUUGGGGUCCCCCCGGGUCUCUCUCACCCUCCUCGCCCCCCCUCCAUUCCUCCUGCUUGGCCCCCGCCGGCCGCGCUCCCUUCGGCAUGGCCGGGCACCGCGCACUGCGCAUGCGCCGCCACCGCCGCGCCGCGCCGCUUCCGCCUCGCGCCGC